rnacentral:rRNA from 1 species
GACGAACGCUGGCGGCGUGCUUAACACAUGCAAGUCGAACGGAAAGGCCCUGCUUUUGUGGGGUGCUCGAGUGGCGAACGGGUGAGUAACACGUGAGUAACCUGCCCUUGACUUUGGGAUAACUUCAGGAAACUGGGGCUAAUACCGGAUAGGAGCUCCUGCUGCAUGGUGGGGGUUGGAAAGUUUCGGCGGUUGGGGAUGGACUCGCGGCUUAUCAGCUUGUUGGUGGGGUAGUGGCUUACCAAGGCUUUGACGGGUAGCCGGCCUGAGAGGGUGACCGGCCACAUUGGGACUGAGAUACGGCCCAGACUGCUACGGGAGGCAGCAGUGGGGAAUAUUGCACAAUGGGCGGGAGCCUGAUGCAGCAACGCCGCGUGCGGGAUGACGGCCUUCGGGUUGUAAACCGCUUUCGCCUGUGACGAAGCGUGAGUGACGGUAAUGGGUAAAGAAGCACCGGCUAACUACGUG